rnacentral:rRNA from 1 species
CAGUAGCCACGGGAAUACAGAGGGUGCAAGCGUUAAUCGGAAUUACUGGGCGUAAAGCGCGCGUAGGUGGUUUGUUAAGUUGGAUGUGAAAGCCCCGGGCUCAACCUGGGAACUGCAUCCAAAACUGGCAAGCUAGAGUACGGUAGAGGGUGGUGGAAUUUCCUGUGUAGCGGUGAAAUGCGUAGAUAUAGGAAGGAACACCAGUGGCGAAGGCGACCACCUGGACUGAUACUGACACUGAGGUGCGAAAGCGUGGGGAGCAAACAGGAUUAGAGACCCGUGUAGUCCCUGUCUCUUAUAC